rnacentral:tRNA from 2 species
GGGCUCGUAGUUAAACGGUAUAACAUAUCAUUCGCAUUGAUAUAUUAGGGGUUCAAUUCCCCUCGAGUCCACAA